rnacentral:rRNA from 1 species
GACGAAUGCUGGCGGCGUGCCUAAUACAUGCAAGUUGAGCGAUGAAGAUUGGUGCUUGCACCAAUUUGAAGAGCAGCGAACGGGUGAGUAACGCGUGGGGAAUCUGCCUUUGAGCGGGGGACAACAUUUGGAAACGAAUGCUAAUACCGCAUAACAACUUUAAACAUAAGUUUUAAGUUUGAAAGAUGCAAUUGCAUCACUCAAAGAUGAUCCCGCGUUGUAUUAGCUAGUUGGUGAGGUAAAGGCUCACCAAGGCGAUGAUACAUAGCCGACCUGAGAGGGUGAUCGGCCACAUUGGGACUGAGACACGGCCCAAACUCCUACGGGAGGCAGCAGUAGGGAAUCUUCGGCAAUGGACGAAAGUCUGACCGAGCAACGCCGCGUGAGUGAAGAAGGUUUUCGGAUCGUAAAACUCUGUUGGUAGAGAAGAACGUUGGUGUGAGUGGAAAGCUCAUCAAGUGACGGUAACUACCCAGAAAGGGACGGCUAACUACGUG